UACAGAGGUCCCGAGCGUUGUUCGGAUUCACUGGGCGUAAAGGGUGCGCGGGUGGGUUGGCAAGUUUGAUGUGAAAGCCCCGGGCUUAACCCGGGAAUGGCAUUGAAUACUGCUGAUCUGGAGGAUCGGAGGGGGGACUGGAGUUCUUGGUGUAGCAGUGAAAUGCGUAGAUAUCAAGAGGAACACCAGUGGCGAAGGCGAGUCCCUGGACGAUACCUGACACUGAGGCACGAAAGCCGGGGGAGCAAACAGG
rnacentral:rRNA from 1 species